GAUGAACGCUGGCGGCGUGCCUAAUACAUGCAAGUCGAGCGAACAGACGAGGAGCUUGCUCCUCUGACGUUAGCGGCGGACGGGUGAGUAACACGUGGAUAACCUACCUAUAAGACUGGGAUAACUUCGGGAAACCGGAGCUAAUACCGGAUAAUAUAUUGAACCGCAUGGUUCAAUAGUGAAAGACGGUUUUGCUGUCACUUAUAGAUGGAUCCGCGCCGCAUUAGCUAGUUGGUAAGGUAACGGCUUACCAAGGCGACGAUGCGUAGCCGACCUGAGAGGGUGGUCGGCCACACUGGAACGGGGACACGGUCCAGACUCCUACGGGAGGCAGCAGUAGGGAAUCUUCCGCAAUGGGCGAAAGCCUGACGGAGCAACGCCGCGUGAGUGAUGAAGGUCUUCGGAUCGUAAAACUCUGUUAUUAGGGAAGAACAAAUGUGUAAGUAACUAUGCACGUCUUGACGGUACCUAAUCAGAAAGCCACGGCUAACUACGUG
rnacentral:rRNA from 1 species